rnacentral:rRNA from 1 species
UACGGAGAGUGCAAGCAUUAAUCGGAAUUAUUGGGCGUAAAGGGCGCGUAGGCGGAAAGAUAAGUCAGAUGUGAAAUACCAAAGCUCAACUUUGGUGCUGCAUUUGAAACUAUCAUUCUAGAGGGUUGACGGAGAAAACGGAAUUCCACGUGUAGCGGUGAAAUGCGUAGAUAUUGGGAGGAACACCAGUGGCGAAGGCGGCUCACUGGACCGGUACUGACGCUGAUGCGCGAAAGCGUGGGGAGCAAACGGG